rnacentral:rRNA from 1 species
UACAGAGGGUGCGAGCGUUAAUCGGAAUUACUGGGCGUAAAGCGCGCGUAGGCGGCUUUGCAAGUCGGGUGUGAAAUCCCCAGGGUUAACCUGGGAACUGCAUUCGAGACUGCAUUGCUAGAGUAUGGGAGAGGGAAGUGGAAUUUCCGGUGUAGCGGUGAAAUGCGUAGAUAUCGGAAGGAACAUCAGUGGCGAAAGCGACUUCCUGGACCAAUACUGACGCUCAUGUGCGAAAGCGUGGGGAGCAAACAGG